rnacentral:rRNA from 1 species
AUUGAACGCUGGCGGCAGGCCUAACACAUGCAAGUCGAGCGGAAACGAAGGGAGCUUGCUCCCAGGCGUGGAGCGUCGGACGGGUGAGUACCACGUGAGAAUCUGCCCAUUAGUGGGGGACAACUCGGGUAAAGUCGAGGUAAUACCGCAUCAUCCCGACGGGGGAAAGCAGGGGACCUUUUGGCCUUGCGCUUAUGGAUGAGCUCACAUCGGAUGAGCUUGUUGGCGAGGUAAAGGGUCACAAAGGCGACGAUCCGGAGCUGGUCUGAGAGGAUGAUCAGCCACACUGGGACUGAGACACGGCCAGACUCCUACGGGAGGCAGCAGUGGGGAAUCUUGGACAAUGGGGGCAACCCUGAUCCAGCCAUGCCGCGUGUGUGAAGAAGGCCUUCGGGUUGUAAAGCACUUUCAGCAGGGAGGAAGGCUUUGGCCGAAUAGGUUGAAGUACUUGACGUUACCUGCAGAAGAAGCACCGGCUAAUUUCGUGCCAGCCGCCGCGGUAA